rnacentral:rRNA from 1 species
UACGUAGGGUGCAAGCGUUGUCCGGAAUUAUUGGGCGUAAAGAGCUCGUAGGCGGUCUGUCGCGUCUGCUGUGAAAACUCACGGCUCAACCGUGGGACUGCAGUCGAUACGGGCAGGCUAGAGUUCGGUAGGGGAGACUGGAAUUCCUGGUGUAGCGGUGAAAUGCGCAGACAUCAGGAGGAACACCGGUGGCGAAGGCGGCCCACUGGUCCGGUACUGACGCUGAGACACGAAAGCGCGGGGGAGCGAACGGG